rnacentral:rRNA from 1 species
UGGGGAAUUUUGGACAAUGGGCGAAAGCCUGAUCCAGCAAUGCCGCGUGUGUGAAGAAGGCCUUCGGGUUGUAAAGCACUUUUGUCCGGAAAGAAAUCCUUGGCUCUUAAUACAGUCGGGGGAUGACGGUACCGGAAGAAUAAGCACCGGCUAACUACGUGCCAGCAGCCGCGGUAAUACGUAGGGUGCAAGCGUUAAUCGGAAUUACUGGGCGUAAAGCGUGCGCAGGCGGUUUGCUAAGACCGAUGUGAAAUCCCCGGGCUCAACCUGGGAACUGCAUUGGUGACUGGCAGGCUAGAGUAUGGCAGAGGGGGGUAGAAUUCCACGUGUAGCAGUGAAAUGCGUAGAGAUGUGGAGGAAUACCGAUGGCGAAGGCAGCCCCCUGGGGCCAAUACUGACGCUCAUGCACGAAAAGGCGUGGGGGAGCAAACAGGAUUAGAUACCCUGGUAGUCCACGCCCUAAACGAUGUCAACUAGUUGUUGGGGAUUCAUUUCCUUAGUAACGUAGCUAACGCGUGAAGUUGACCGCCUGGGGAGUACGGUCGCAAGAUUAAAACUCAAAGGAAUUGACGGGGUCAUAGCUGUUUCCU